rnacentral:rRNA from 1 species
UCUGGUAUGUACUGGUCUCACUGAUUCCUCCUUCCUGAUGANCCGUAAUGCCAUUAAUUUGGUGUUGCGGGGAAUUUGGACUGUUACUUUGAAAAAAUUAGAGUGCUUAAAGCAAGCUAACGCUUGAAUACAUUAGCAUGGAAUAAUGAAAUAGGACGUUCGAUCCUAUUUUGUUGGUUUCUAGGAUUGACGUAAUGAUUAAUAGGGAUAGUUGGGGGCAUUAGUAUUCAAUUGUCAGAGGUGAAAUUCUUGGAUUUAUUGAAGACUAACUACAGCGAAAGCAUUUGCCAAGGAUGUUUUCAUUAAUCAAGAACGAAAGUUAGGGGAUCGAAGACGAUCAGAUACCGUCGUAGUCUUAACCAUAAACUAUGCCGACUAGGGAUCGGAGGGAUGUUAAUUUUUUAAUGACUCA